rnacentral:rRNA from 1 species
GCCAACCAGGAGGGGAACGACUGGAAACGGUCGCUAAUACCCAAUGUGCCGGGAGGUAAAAACUUUAGUGCCUGAGGAGAACUCGCGUCUGAUUAGCUAGUUGGUAGUGUAAUGGACUACCAAGGCGACGAUCAGUAGCUGGUCUGAGAGGAUGAUCAGCCACACUGGGACUGAGACACGGCCCAGACUCCUACGGGAGGCAGCAGUGGGGAAUUUUCCGCAAUGGGCGAAAGCCUGACGGAGCAACGCCGCGUGAGGGAAGAAUGUCUGUGGAUUGUAAACCUCUUUUCUCAGGGAAGAAGGAAUGACGGUACCUGAGGAAUAAGCAUCGGCUAACUCCGUGCCAGCAGCCGCGGUAAUACGGAGGAUGCAAGCGUUAUCCGGAAUCAUUGGGCGUAAAGCGUCCGUAGGCGGCUUAUCAAGUCUGCUGUUAAAGCGUGCAGCUUAACUGCAUAAGGGCAGUGGAAACUGAAAGGCUAGAGUGUAGUAGGGGUAGAGGGAAUUCCCAGUGUAGCGGUGAAAUGCGUAGAUAUUGGGAAGAACACCGGUGGCGAAGGCGCUCUACUGGGCUACAACUGACGCUGAUGGACGAAAGCUAGGGGAGCGAAUGGGAUUAGAUAGCCCCUGUAGUCACGCGUUACUCACCCGUCCGCGG